rnacentral:rRNA from 1 species
GGGUUGUGAGGUUAAGCGACUAAGCGUACACGGUGGAUGCCCUGGCAGUCAGAGGCGAUGAAGGACGUGCUAAUCUGCGAUAAGCGUCGGUGAGGUGAUAUGAACCGUUAUAACCGGCGAUUUCCGAAUGGGGAAACCCAGUGUGUUUCGACACACUAUCAUUAACUGAAUCCAUAGGUUAAUGAGGCGAACCGGGGGAACUGAAACAUCUAAGUACCCCGAGGAAAAGAAAUCAACCGAGAUUCCCCCAGUAGCGGCGAGCGAACGGGGAGGAGCCCAGAGCCUGAAUCAGUGUGUGUGUUAGUGGAAGCGUCUGGAAAGGCGCGCGAUACAGGGUGACAGCCCCGUACACAAAAAUGCACAUAUUGUGAGCUCGAUGAGUAGGGCGGGACACGUGGUAUCCUGUCUGAAUAUGGGGGGACCAUCCUCCAAGGCUAAAUACUCCUGACUGACCGAUAGUGAACCAGUACCGUGAGGGAAAGGCGAAAAGAACCCCGGCGAGGGGAGUGAAAAAGAACCUGAAACCGUGUACGUACAAGCAGUGGGAGCCUCUUAAUGGGGUGACUGCGUACCUUUUGUAUAAUGGGUCAGCGACUUAUAUUCUGUAGCAAGGUUAACCGAAUAGGGGAGCCGAAGGGAAACCGAGUCUUAACUGGGCGUUAAGUUGCAGGGUAUAGACCCGAAACCCGGUGAUCUAGCCAUGGGCAGG